UACGUAGGGUGCAAGCGUUAAUCGGAAUUACUGGGCGUAAAGCGUGCGCAGGCGGUUAUGUAAGACAGUUGUGAAAUCCCCGGGCUCAACCCGUGGGAACUGGCAUCUGUGACUGCAUAGCUAGAGUACGGUAGAGGGGGAUGGAAUUCCGCGUGUAGCAGUGAAAUGCGUAGAUAUGCGGAGGAACACCGAUGGCGAAGGCAGCCCCCUGGGCUGAGAUUGACGCUCAGGCACGAAAGCGUGGGGAGCAAACAGG
rnacentral:rRNA from 1 species